UGUCGGUGGAACCUUCUAGGUGGUCAGCAGACCACCGUUCGUGUUUUGAAGCCACUACUGCCUUUCAGGAGUCUGGCUUUGCACCCGGGGCCGCUGCUGCCUUUUGCGGGUUUAAGCACCUACCCACUCCUUGGGGGUGAGGGGUAGAAGAAAAGUUUAGAAACCCACUGAUCUCCACCUCUGGGGUGACUGAACUGGUUGAUUCUGUGUGCAUUCAGCCAAGGAAAAAAAAAUAUCACGAAUGCCCAAGAGCCAGGGGUUGAUAUUGAGGGCAGCGAGAUGAGGUUGGGCACUGGGUUCCGGAGCUGCGCCACUCGGGAGUGCGAGUUACAUCACCACCACCAGCAUAGAAACUCGGUGGGUGAACCGCCCCAGGCAGACGCUGCGGGCUGAAGGAAGCCUGUUCUCUGACAGCUCCCGAGCUGCUGCUGGCUUAGCAUCGCUCUUCUCUGACUUAAAACAGCUGCCAGGGGGAGGGGGCUAGAGAGGGGAUCCCCAAGAAAUCUCUAAUCAGGGUUGGGCAGAGAUAAGGGCUCUUGCAGAGACCCAGAGGAGCAUGCUAUCAGGUAGCCAGGACCAAGGGACUGGAAGAAAUUGAUGGCAAAAGCCCCCGCCAAAAAAAAAAAAAAUCUAGCAAUAUGUUUUUUGUUUGUUUUGUUUUCUUUCUGGCCCCUCCUUUCCUUUGCCUAUCUUGGCUUGUGUGUGCCCCCUCCCCACAUCUGUGAUUCCCCUGAGAAGAACAUCCCUGGCCUGCACCUCUUCUCCAGGCACCCCCAGCAUUUCCCAGAGUGCACCAAAGCUGCCCAGAGAUCAAGGAACCUGCUGUGUGUUCUUCAUCCUCCUGCAGAAGCAGGGCCCUUGGAGCAGCUUGGGAAGCAGACUCAGAGCCUGCAGUCAAAGGCCCACUCCCUCUGGGUGACUUGUUCCCUGAUGCCUGUCUACAGAGCAGAUGUGAAGAAGCAAUACAGGGUCUGGAUGCCCAGGAUAGCCACAAGCUUGGAAAAGUACGUCUCCUGCCCCUUCCACCCCUGAUUGUUUGAAGUGUGCUCCUAACUUCUCCAUCUCAGAGUAUCUGAGACCUAUCGCCCGUCCUCCCAGGAUUCUGACUGAAUUAAAAUCUUUGCAGAGCUGGAGGUUGGACCCGUGAAUCCAUGCAUGCCAGGGUCCACUUUCAUGUCGGACUGAUCCAUGCAAUUGUCUAUGCUUCUGGCAAGUGGGAGGAAAGAGGAGACUUCAGAGGAACAAAUUCAGUGACCCGUGGCCCUGCACACAGGAACAGUGGUACCUUGCCUGGCCAAGUCCCAGGGAAGCUAGCCCACAGCUCCCAGACCUUAGCCACCAGCUCAGGGCAAAGAGCAGAGGAUUUGAGCGUUAGCAA